UUAAAGCAGAGAGAACAGAUUAAAUGCAGGAAGAAAAUCAGAGAAAAGGAGUAAUAAAAGCACACUUAAAUAGAAAACUGAAAUAGUAAAGAAGGUAAGACAAUAGCGUGAGGAAAGCAGGAGGCAAUAUAGAGGCCCAGAAACGAGAGUGAAAGAAACAAUAAUUAUUAAUAUCCAUGAAAGAAAGGAGGCGGAGGAAACACAGAGGCAGAGGAAUGCCAUUAAAAGUACUGUAUAAAUAGAAAAAGGGGAGGAGAAAGAAACCUGGAAACUUAAGAAUGUAGAAAAAGAAAUCACAGGAUAGAUGAAAGGAAGGAAGGAAGGAAGGAAGGAAAAAGAAAGAAAGAAGGAUGUAGGAAAGAAAGACAGGCAGAAGACAGUAUUAAUGGAAGGAAGGAAGGAAGGUAGUAAGGAACAAUAAAGAAGGAAGGAUGUAGGAAAGAAAGGCAAACAUAAGGCAGUAUGAAUAUAAGGAAGGAAGGAAAUAGGAAAAAAAGAA